AAUGAACGCUGGCGGCAGGCCUAACACAUGCAAGUCGAGCGAGCGGCGGACGGGUGAGUAAUGUAUGUGGAUCUGCCCGAAAGCUGGGGAUAACUACUGGAAACGGUGGCUAAUACCGAAUACUAUCGGAUGAACCCCUAUGGGAUUAGCCAGUAGGUAGGGUAACGGCGCACCAAGGCGACGAUCUCUAGCUGGUCUGAGAGGAUGAUCAGCCACAAUGGGACUGAGACACGGCCCAGAGUCCUACGGGAGGCAGCAGUGGGGAAUAUUGCACAAUGGGCGAAAGCCUGAUGCAGCCAUGCCGCGUGUAUGAAGAAGGCCUUAGGGUUGUAAAGUACUUUCAGCGGGGAGGCGUUACCCGCAGAAGAAGCACCGGCUAACUCCGUGCCAGCAGCCGCGGUAAUUC
rnacentral:rRNA from 1 species